GUGGGCGGAAGCUCAUUGUAGAGGUCACAUGCUGAGUGCUCGUCACUCCACCAAUCACCUCGGGGAAGGUCUGAGACAAGAGCCAAUAGUUACCCUUGCAGGGUGUCACCUGAUUCGGGUGAGCGAGUGAACAGAAAACAUGGGUCUGUGAGAGCAGCUGUCGCAGGAGAAGCUGUGUGGCGCAGUUUGUCAGCGCCAUUCAGUGGAUGUGGCGCUCUCCGGCUUGGAAUCGCUUGCGGCUGGCGUAUGAGUGCGAUGUAUGAGGUGGGGCACAGCUCCAGAACCCAAUUCAGACUACUCUCCUCCCAC
ensembl:misc_RNA RNaseP_nuc Nuclear RNase P